rnacentral:rRNA from 1 species
GAUGAACGCUGGCGGCGUGCCUAAUACAUGCAAGUCGAGCGAACGGACGAGAAGCUUGCUUCUCUGAUGUUAGCGGCGGACGGGUGAGUAACACGUGGAUAACCUACCUAUAAGACUGGGAUAACUUCGGGAAACCGGAGCUAAUACCGGAUAAUAUUUUGAACCGCAUGGUUCAAAAGUGAAAGACGGUCUUGCUGUCACUUAUAGAUGGAUCCGCGCUGCAUUAGCUAGUUGGUAAGGUAACGGCUUACCAAGGCAACGAUGCAUAGCCGACCUGAGAGGGUGAUCGGCCACACUGGAACUGAGACACGGUCCAGACUCCUACGGGAGGCAGCAGUAGGGAAUCUUCCGCAAUGGGCGAAAGCCUGACGGAGCAACGCCGCGUGAGUGAUGAAGGUCUUCGGAUCGUAAAACUCUGUUAUUAGGGAAGAACAUAUGUGUAAGUAACUGUGCACAUCUUGACGGUACCUAAUCAGAAAGCCACGGCUAACUACGUGCCAGCAGCCGCGGUAAUACGUAGGUGGCAAGCGUUAUCCGGAAUUAUUGGGCGUAAAGCGCGCGUAGGCGGUUUUUUAGUCUGAUGUGAAAGCCCACGGCUCAACCGUGGAGGGUCAUUGGAAACUGGAAAACUUGAGUGCAGAAGAGGAAAGUGGAAUUCCAUGUGUAGCGGUGAAAUGCGCAGAGAUAUGGAGGAACACCAGUGGCGAAGGCGACUUUCUGGUCUGUAACUGACGCUGAUGUGCGAAAGCGUGGGGAUCAAACAGGAUUAGAUACCCUGGUAGUCCACGCCGUAAACGAUGAGUGCUAAGUGUUAGGGGGUUUCCGCCCCUUAGUGCUGCAGCUAACGCAUUAAGCACUCCGCCUGGGGAGUACGACCGCAAGGUUGAAACUCAAAGGAAUUGACGGGGACCCGCACAAGCGGUGGAGCAUGUGGUUUAAUUCGAAGCAACGCGAAGAACCUUACCAAAUCUUGACAUCCUCUGACCCCUCUAGAGAUAGAGUUUUCCCCUUCGGGGGACAGAGUGACAGGUGGUGCAUGGUUGUCGUCAGCUCGUGUCGUGAGAUGUUGGGUUAAGUCCCGCAACGAGCGCAACCCUUAAGCUUAGUUGCCAUCAUUAAGUUGGGCACUCUAAGUUGACUGCCGGUGACAAACCGGAGGAAGGUGGGGAUGACGUCAAAUCAUCAUGCCCCUUAUGAUUUGGGCUACACACGUGCUACAAUGGACAAUACAAAGGGUAGCGAAACCGCGAGGUCAAGCAAAUCCCAUAAAGUUGUUCUCAGUUCGGAUUGUAGUCUGCAACUCGACUAUAUGAAGCUGGAAUCGCUAGUAAUCGUAGAUCAGCAUGCUACGGUGAAUACGUUCCCGGGUCU